rnacentral:rRNA from 1 species
AUGCAGAAACUAUUGUCAGCAGCGGGCAAGGAGGUGCUGAUAAAGUCAGUUGCUCAAGCCAUACCGGUUUUUUCCAUGUCUUGCUUCCGACUACCGAGGGGCCUAUGUGAUAGUGUAACUUCAAUCAUACGUCAAUUUUGGUGGGGAUCUAAACGUGGAAAGAGGAAACCUGCUUGGGUUUCUUGGGACGUCAUGACAAAUCCCAAAAACUUGGGCGGCCUCGGCUUUAAGGAUAUAGAAAUUUUUAAUCUUGCUCUACUAUGUAGACAAGCGUGGAGGUGCCUGACAGAGCCGCUUUCCUUGAGCUCUCGCAUCCUAAAAGCAGCUUACUAUCCAACUUCGUCCAUCUUCGAGGCAGAGUUGGGUUCAAACCCAUCCCAGAUAUGGAGAUCUAUUGUGGAUGGGAGAGACGUGUUGAAACUUGGAGCGAUCAUGCGGAUAGGGGAUGGGCGCUCGACCAAUAUCUAG